AACGCACCUUGCGCUCUUUGGUAUUCCGAAGAGCAUGCCUGUUUGAGUGUCAUGAAAUUCUCAAACUUUCUAGCUUUUUCAAAGUUAGCUGGUUUUGGAUAUUGGAGGUUGCUGGAUCCCUGGGAAUCAGCUCUUCUUAAAUAUAUUAGCAGUCCUUACUGGCCGUCAUUAGUAUGAUAAUUAUCUAUACUAUUGAUGAUCAGUUUCCUAGUGGAGAGGUGCUGCUUUCUAAUCGUCUUUGAGACAACUUGACAACUUUGACCUCAAAUCAGGUAGGACUACCCGCUGAACUUAA
rnacentral:misc_RNA from 2 species